GACGAACGCUGGCGGCGUGCUUAAUACAUGCAAGUCGAGCGAGGUUACUGUUUUGGAUCCCUUCGGGGUAAAGAAGCUUUAACCUAGCGGCGGACGGGUGAGUAACGCGUGGGUAACCUACCCCAAAGUCCGGGAUAACAGCGGGAAACCGCUGCUAAUACCGGAUGUCUUUACCUUGGGGCAUCUUGAGGUAAAGAAAGGUAACGCUUUGGGAUGGGCCCGCGUCCCAUUAGCUAGUUGGUGAGGUAACGGCUCACCAAGGCGACGAUGGGUAGCCGGCCUGAGAGGGUGACGGCCACGACUGGGACUGAGACACGGCCCAGACUCCUACGGGAGGCAGCAGUAGGGAAUAUUGCGCAAUGGACGGAAGUCUGACGCAGCGACGCCGCGUGAGCGAUGAAGGUCUUCGGAUCGUAAAAGCUCUGUCCUUGGGGAAGAAGGCGAAAAGCUUGACGGUACCCAAGAAGAAAAGCCCGGCUAACUACGUG
rnacentral:rRNA from 1 species